UACGUAGGGUGCGAGCGUUAAUCGGAAUUACUGGGCGUAAAGCGUGCGCAGGCGGUCUGUUAAGACCGAUGUGAAAUCCCCGGGCUUAACCUGGGAAUGGCAUUCGGGACUGCAAGGCUGGAGUGCGGCAGAGGAGACUGGAAUUCCUGGUGUAGCAGUGAAAUGCGUAGAUAUCAGGAGGAACACCGAUGGCGAAGGCAGGUCUCUGGGCUGACACUGACGCUCAUGCACGAAAGCGUGGGGAGCAAACAGG
rnacentral:rRNA from 1 species